rfam:Curtobacterium sp. ER1/6 Contig_5, whole genome shotgun sequence.
UCCGCCUUGGUGUAACGGCAGCACGACGGCCUUUGGUGCCGUUAGGUCCGGGUUCGAAUCCUGGAGGCGGAG